rnacentral:misc_RNA from 1 species
GAUGAAGAACGUAGUGAAAUGCGAUAAGUAAUGUGAAUUGCAGAAUUCAGUGAAUCAUCGAAUCUUUGAACGCACAUUGCGCCCGCCAGUAUUCUGGCGGGCAUGCCUGUCUGAGCGUCAUUUCAACCCUCAAGCAACUUCUGCUUGGUGUUGGGGAUCGGCCGUCAAACGCCGCCCCCGAAAUCUAUUGGCGAUCUCGCUGUAGCUUCCUAUGCGUAGUAGUAACAUCUCGCAUCUGGAGAGCGGCGCGGUCAUGCCGUAAAACACCCAACUUCUCAGGUUGACCUCAGAUCAGGUAGGAAUACCCGCUGAACUAAAGCAUAUCAUAAGCGGAGGA